AGUGAACGCUGGCGGUAGGCCUAACACAUGCAAGUCGAACGGCAGCACAGUAAGAGCUUGCUCUUACGGGUGGCGAGUGGCGGACGGGUGAGGAAUACAUCGGAAUCUACUUUUUCGUGGGUGAUAACGUAGGGAAACUUACGCUAAUACCGCAUACGACCUACGGGUUAAAUCAUGGGAUCUUCGGACCUUGCCCGCUUUAUUUAGCCGAUUUCUGAUUAUCUAGUUGGCUGGGUAAAGGCCCACCAAGGCGACGAUCCGUAGCUGGUCUGAUAGGAUGAUCAGCCACACUGGAAGUGAGACACGGUCCAGACUACUAAGGGAGGAAGCAGUGGGGAAUAUUGGACAAUGGGCGAAAGCCUGAUCCAGCAAUACCGAGUGGGUGAAGAAGGCCUUCGGGUUGUAAAGCCCUUUUGUUGGGAAAGAAAAGCAGCAGGCUAAUACCCCGCUGUUCUGACGGUACCCAAAGAAUAAGCACCGGCUAACUUCGUG
rnacentral:rRNA from 1 species